GCUUUUUUCACGAUUGGCAAAAGCAUAAUAUUUGAAAAAGGGAGAGAUAUCAGACUUCUUUUUAAGGAAGCACAAACAGGCAGAUCAGGUGCAAACAGACCCCAACCCUUGCAUCACCACCGGACCCCAGAGCAGCUCCCUACCUGAGGCUAGUCAGAGUCAGUGUGGUCAGACUUCACAAGGACCCAGUCUACCACCACCAGGUCAGAGCAUCUGCCAGGCAAUGUAUCAAGGGAUGACACAGAGACCUCUGAGCAAGACAGUGAGCCAGAGCUGCCAGGAGAUGUCAUCGAGCCCCUCCCAACUGCAUCAAGCACCAGAUAUGUUGUUCCAAAAGGACCCAACGGUAGGCCUAUACUUUAAAUUACACAUUUUAGUUAGCAGCUGUUAGUAUCUA
rnacentral:lncRNA from 1 species